UUUGGGAACUUCAGAAUUACAUUUCUGUCCUGUGCUGUCCCACUAGCAUGUUGUGACCUUGAACUUGAUUUUGAACAGUACACUGGGCAUUGAAUGGCAUUCAGAAACACAGAGAGGGUAAUCAGAAGACAUACUGGCGAGCAGAGAACAUCAGUACUGAUGGAAUGCCUCAGAAGCAUUGCUGAACAACAGCUAUGUGCUACACCUUUUUCCGGAUGAUGAAGUUCCACAGACUUGAGCUGCAUAAUCUGUCUUGCAGCUGUUCCAUCUGCUGAGACUGCAAGUGAGACAAGUGGCAUCUGCCCAGGACCUUGAGACAUUCACACCAGGGAAGCAUUUUAUGUCUUCUCUUUGACACAUCUGAAUGGCCAGCAUCAUCGUCCUGUGCUUUGGGGCUGUUAUUAGGUAAAAUAAGGAUGAUAUGAACAUACGUGCUAUGAGACUGUAACAGGCUGGUGUGGAUUCUUAGCUGUAUGUAAGGUGGAAAGGUUUGAUUUUGAGCUGCUUAUCUGUCAGCAUUGUCCAUGCUCUUCUUUAGCGCCCUCUAGAGGAGAGGGUCUCCAUGUGGGCUUCCAAGAUGUUACCAAUCCACUGAAAG